CCUACGGGCGGCAGCAGUGAGGAAUAUUGGUCAAUGGGCGAGAGCCUGAACCAGCCAAGUCGCGUGAGGGAGUACUGCCCUAUGGGUUGUAAACCUCUUUUGUCGGGGAGCAAAAGCCGGACGUGUCCGGCUGUGAGAGUACCCGAAGAAAAAGCAUCGGCUAACUCCGUGCCAGCAGCCGCGGUAAUACGGAGGAUGCGAGCGUUAUCCGGAUUUAUUGGGUUAAAAGGGUGCGCAGGCGGAGUUUUAAGUCAGCGGUAAAAUCGUGGGGCGCAACCCCAUCCAGCCGUUGAAACUGGGGAUCUAGAGUGUGCGAGAGGUAUGCGGAAGGCGUGGUGUAGCGGUGAAAUGCAUAGAUAUCACGCAGAACCCCGAUUGCGAAGGCAGCAUACCGGUGCACAACUGACGCUCAGGCACGAAAGCGUGGGUAUCGAACAGGAUUAGAUACCCCUGUAGUC
rnacentral:rRNA from 1 species